GAUGAACGCUGGCGGCGUGCCUAAUACAUGCAAGUCGAGCGAACAGAUGAGGAGCUUGCUCCUCUGACGUUAGCGGCGGACGGGUGAGUAACACGUGGAUAACCUACCUAUAAGACUGGGAUAACUUCGGGAAACCGGAGCUAAUACCGGAUAAUAUAUUGAACCGCAUGGUUCAAUAGUGAAAGACGGUUUUGCUGUCACUUAUAGAUGGAUCCGCGCCGCAUUAGCUAGUUGGUAAGGUAACGGCUUACCAAGGCAACGAUGCGUAGCCGACCUGAGAGGGUGAUCGGCCACACUGGAACUGAGACACGGUCCAGACUCCUACGGGAGGCAGCAGUAGGGAAUCCUCCGCAAUGGGCGAAAGCCUGACGGAGCAACGCCGCGUGAGUGAUGAAGGUCUUCGGAUCGUAAAACUCUGUUAUUAGGGAAGAACAAAUGUGUAAGUAACUAUGCACGUCUUGACGGUACCUAAUCAGAAAGCCACGGCUAACUACGU
rnacentral:rRNA from 1 species